rnacentral:rRNA from 1 species
GAUGAACGCUGGCGGCGUGCCUAAUACAUGCAAGUCGAGCGAACAGACGAGGAGCUUGCUCCUCUGACGUUAGCGGCGGACGGGUGAGUAACACGUGGAUAACCUACCUAUAAGACUGGGAUAACUUCGGGAAACCGGAGCUAAUACCGGAUAAUAUAUUGAACCGCAUGGUUCAAUAGUGAAAGACGGUUUUGCUGUCACUUAUAGAUGGAUCCGCGCCGCAUUAGCUAGUUGGUAAGGUAACGGCUUACCAAGGCGACGAUGCGUAGCCGACCUGAGAGGGGGAUCGGCCACACUGGAACUGAGACACGGUCCAGACUCCUACGGGAGGCAGCAGUAGGGAAUCUUCCGCAAUGGGCGAAAGCCUGACGGAGCAACGCCGCGUGAGUGAUGAAGGUCUUCGGAUCGUAAAACUCUGUUAUGAGGGAAGAACAAAUGUGGAAGUAACUAUGCACGUCUUGACGGUACCUAAUCAGAAAGCCACGGCUAACUACGUG